UCAGCACUUCUGACCUUAGCAAGUAUUUUCUCUAGCCUGGGACCAUCAGGAAGGUGGAAAUAACCACAGCAGCCAUCCUGCAAUAGUGUUGUAGCUGUCAUGGCUGUAAAUGAUGCACUUAUGUCAUAGAGUGAACCUCUAGACAAAGUGAAGCUCCAGAAGUGGAAUCACUUUUUAAUGCCCCCUUUUAAGCUAAUCCUACAUUCCCAGCUAUGGAAAAACUUUUCUGCUAGUCAGUGUGAAAAAACUCUUACAGCCACAAAGAAGGGGGAAAAAAAGAUAAAUCACCUUAAAAGAAACCCAAAUAAAUCUCCAUUAACAGGAGGGACAAGGCAGACCCAGAAAGUUUCAGUUCAUUGAAAAGGCUGUUAUUUAUUUCCGAGUGUUUGACUUUGUUCAAGAGACACCCGUACUGUAUGGUAAACAAGCAGAAUCACCUGCUUCAUGAGUGAGUUUUGCGUCAGUGGAGUACAUUUGUGUUUGUGCAGAAAGGGUUACUAGAGAAGAAAUGUUUGCUCACUGAUUUAUUUGAGAUCACAACCCCCAGGCAGUUAAUUUAAUGCAUGUUUUAAACUGUAGUGGCAUGAAAAUGAUAAACCAUCGCUUCCUGACUGGAAGGAUUUAUGGGCUACUGCAGAGGUAUAAAUAAAUAGAGUCAAAUCUCAUCAUAACAUCACCCAGGAGAAUGCAAGAAAUUUGGAGCAAGGACCAUGACAGUACAUGUCUUCUGGACAGUGUAAAAUGAACCUUGUGGACACUGGAAGUGAUAUGGAAAUCCAUCACAACCUCACAGCCUCAAACACCAGUGAUCCUUCAGACACUGUCCGUGGGCUGAUACCCUGUGACGCAUCCUGGAAGCCAGUCUGCCUUCCCAGUUACAUCACUUUUGCAGUAUUAAAAGGAACAACAGCUUACUAAAAUACUUCUUUUUUCCAGUGACAAAGAAAUACUAUGCAGUCCUUGAUUACUUAAUUAUCUGAUAUUUUUACUGCAUCCUUUUUGAACAUCCUCUCCUCCUGUUAUUCUCCAACUUAAUGAUAGUUUUAUAAUGUGAACAGUCAUUCAGCUUAAACUGGAUUGAGGCUUUCUACUUUGUUCAUAAACAUCAGCAACAGAUCUCAAAUAACUGUAACCUUUGAUCAUGUCUUGCAUGAGAGUUGAGCCAAUGAUCUCAAGAGGAAGAAACAUUACCAUUUCAUAAAAAGUUAAAUCAUUUUAAUUAAUAGAAACACCCAAAUAAAGAGCUCAGUUCUGAGAUGAAAGCUAAAGUUGACAAGCAGUUUGCGUAUAAUGUACAAUUACAUGCUCUACAUAAAAAAUAAAAUAGAUGACAAAUAUGGAAAGCAACUAAAA